ACCUAGGCUCUGUAAUAGAGGUUCCAAAAUUACAAUUUGCUUUUUUUAGCGUAAAAAUUACAUUUUGCUUUUUUUAGCGGAAAAUUACAAUGUGCUGAGACGUGUGGUCGUGCCGGAGUUGUUACUAGAAAUCAUGUGGGCUUUGCCCGCGCAGGUUCGACCACGCCAGCCCAUUUUUGUUUUCUUUCUUUACAGCCCAUUUUCAUUUUCUUUUCUUUCCUUUACGAGGAUAUGGCAACUGUAGUACUACUCAUUUUCAAAGCAUAUAUGGCCAGCCCGGAGUAGUAUAUAUGGCAAUUAAAUUCUUAACUUUUUUUCAAAGCAGACACUGCAUUUUGCAACUGCAGUACAGGGCAACAAUUAAAAGACUUGACUCCUUUAUUUUUACAAGGAGAUGCUAAGUUUUGCAGCUGUAGUACAUGGCAAUAAUUAAAUACUUGGAUUUUUACUUCUUCCCGAUGCAUUUUCUUCUACUUUUUUACAAGGAGAUGCUGCAUUUUGCAACUGUAGUACUGCAAGGCAACAAUUAAAUACUGACUCAUCUUUUACUUCUUUACAAGGCAAGCGACUGUAGUACAUGGCAACAAUUAAAUACUCAACUUUUUUACACUGUAGUACAAGGCAAUAAUUAAAUACUUGCCUUUUUUUACUUCUUUCCGGUGCAAAAAUUAAAAAUAUUGACCGUUUUACUUCUUUUCGGAAAGAAAGUUAACGUUACCACCUAAUUUACUCUCGGCAAGAGUA
rnacentral:lncRNA from 1 species